AUGUAUAGCACUAGCUACUUGCAUCAUUGUAAAAAUGAUGCAGGAUCGACUAUGUCGAAUAAAAUUCUAGGUAGAAUUUUGAUAAUGACAUUGUCUGCCUAUGUGUCUUGACCAAAUUACGUGCCAGCAGUCGCGGUAAUACGUAGAAGACUAGUGUUAUUCAUGUUUAAUCGGUUUAAAGGGUACCUAGACGGUAAAUCAAGCCUAAAAUUAAGUGAAGGGACUAAUUUACUAGAGUUACUUAUGAGGGGGUAUUAAAGUACUGCUGGUGUAGAGAUGAAAUUCUGUCAUACCUCUUUUCAAUAGAAAAAUAAUGGCACAGGUAUAGGCGAAAGCAUCCCCUUAUGUGAUAACUGACGUUGAGGGACGAAGGCUUUGUGUAGCGAACAGGAUUAGAUACCCCAGUAGUCAAAGCAGAAAAUGAUGAAUGUCAUAGAUUAGAUAAAUAAGUUUAUUCUAUAAAUGAAAGUGUAAGCAUUCCACCUCAAGAGUAAUUUGGCAACAUUGGAACUGAAAUCAUUAGACCGUUUCUGAAACCAGUAGUGAAGUAUGUUGUUUAAUUUGAUGAUCCGCAAAAAACCUUACCACAAUUUGAAUAUUUAUAUCUUUUAUUGUUUUUUUUUAUUUUUCUUCUGAUUUUCAUUGUAUGAUUUUCUUCAAGAAAAAAAAAACAAUUGAUCNUUAUAUCAUAAUAAAAAGAGGCGAUAUGAUAUAUUUACAAGCGUUGCACGGCUGUCUUCA
rnacentral:rRNA from 1 species